rnacentral:lncRNA from 1 species
AGACUGGAGGCUGCAGAAGGCAGAUCCUAACUGAGUGAAUCUCCAUAGCUGAUCCAUGCCUCAAGCUAAGGAGGUACCUAUAUUAUUGUCUUGUGGUGGAAGCAGUUGUUCACAGAGAAUGGUUUAUUACUUUUCUCUUUAAAAUUACCUUUCAAUGAGGAGGUUGACAAACAUGUCAUAGGAGGACUUCUACUAUGUCUUAAACAGCAACAGCAAUCAAGCUUCAGAAAUCCACUGUCUAUGAAGAUAAAAUCAAAGUGAGAUUUUUUUUUUCUUUUGUUAAUUAAUUACAUACAUAGAUUUUCAAAAUACUGAAUAAAUGUAUUUAAUUAAAAAAAAUAUUUAUCUAA